rnacentral:rRNA from 1 species
UUGGGUGGCUAUAGCGAGGGGGACCCACCUGUUCCCAUCCCGAACACAGAAGUUAAGCCCUUCGGCGCCGAUGGUACUGCGCACAGUGGGAGAGUAGGACGCCGCCCGCC